UACGUAGGGGGCGAGCGUUGUCCGGAGCUACUGGGCGUAAAGCGCUUGUAGGCGGUCCACCAAGUUUGGGGUGACAGUUGCCGACUUAAUCGGCAAAGUGCCUCAAAGACUGGCGGACUUGAGGGCCACAGAGGGACAUGGAACUCCAGGUGUAGUGGUGAAAUGCGUAGAUAUCGAGAGGAACACCGGUGGCGAAGGCGGCCUUCUGGACAGUGACUGACGCUGAGACGCGAAAGCGUGGGGAGCAAACAGG
rnacentral:rRNA from 1 species